AGAGAGAACAUUUAGAGGAAGGGAGAGAGAACAUUGAGGUCAGUUCCCUGCUCCCAACGGGAUUAAAGAAAGAUCUCCCAUGAGUUUUGUUUUUUUAAUCCUAUUGGGAACGGGCCACGCGACUACCAACAACUGAGCCAUCCCACUGGAUCAUGCGAGAAGCUCCCAAACAGGCCCUGAAUCAACAAUAACAGCACUAUUGGGAAGAAUCGCAUGAAGAAUUUUCAUUCCUCGUAAAUCCCUGUGGAAUAUGUAGUUGCCUUCGGCUUCGAUCCCACUAGAAAUUAACAGUAGAAACAAAGGAUUUGUCUCCAUACAGGCUUGGGAUCAUCACACCACAAACUCCAGAGCACAACCUCAUUGUUUAUUAGGUCCGAUUAUUUUCUUCCCUCGAAAAAUAAGGUUGAUUUAUUGACAGUUGGCUGUCAGCUCGCACCGCAAUAUUUUUUUUGGUGCAUCAGAAAAGUAAGCUUUUGGGAACAAAAAAGUCUCUUGCUUAUUUUGACCUCCUCCACAAUAUAAACCCAAUAUGCUUUCCAAUAUUUAUUUUUAUUUUUUUGCCAGCAUGGUCCAUAAUUAUCCGCAUUUUGACGGAGAGAUCUCCUUGUUCUUUUUUUUUGGGUAAUAGGAGAGAUCUCUUGUAAGACCUAGUUUGGAUGUUCAGUUAGCAUGCGCUUCUGUUUUGAGCAUGACCACGGAUUACGUACGUUAUAUGAUGCAAAACAGAGGAAACAGAGAAGCGUCGAACAGCUACUUUACAUGAUCCUCUUUCUGGAGAUCCAAGUCGGGCAAUAGCGUACAAGCGCCUGACCGAGAAUCCAUUGUUUAUUACCAGUCAUAUAGAUAAAAAAUAGUGUGAUAUGAAAUUUGGCUUGUAGACCGACUUACUUAGUAAGUCAUGGGUCAUCUGUUCUGACUAGAGGUGAAUUGCAAGUCUUUCAAGUGAUGGGUCACCCAGCACCUCAUAAUUAUGAUAUGGCCAAAAUAGAUUUGCCCAAACUCUUUCCCAAAAACACAAAAAAAUAAUAAUAUCUGACUCGAUCCGACAUGCUCGGAUCCCGACCUCCGGUCUUCAAUCGGGCCGGAUUUGGAUCCAAAAUUAGGAUCCGAACAAAAAAUCGGAUCAGAUCGGGAUCACUCAGGACCCGACCCGACUCGACCCAUUUGCACUCCUACACACGGAUGACAUCCUUCGCGUCACAUUGGUGGUAUUGUGGUAAUUACUAAGUCCCUCAGUAAGGGUGCAACCAAUGGUAGAGAGCUUCCGAUAGGUAAGCUUGGCGGUAUGGCGCUAGGCUCGUUCGAUGACCGCUCUCGAUCGGCCAUGUGUUGGUGUCAUAAAGAUUUUGAUUGGCUGAUCCUUCUGGUGAGCUAUAGUCUGUUUAUAGGCAUAUCAUAAAGCAUUUAACUUUGGCGUUCAAAGAUCCAAAUUCACUGUUCCUUAAUUUGAACAGGAUGGAUCAUGACCCUGUUUCUCAUUAAAUUAUGAGAAAAAAAAUGAAUACAAGAUCUGAUAUGUCACCUGAAUUCAUGCUCAUCCAUUCACACUUGAAUUUCAGAUAAGCAUUAGUUAUUAGUUGAACCGAUAUCCCUCCAUAGUUGACUAGGUAAUUUGGAAUCUAGAAAACAACAGCAUUGGCAUUCUUUAUUCCUCAUGUAGACCUAACAACCUAAUGAUAUCACAAAUCAAUUAACUAACAACGCAAGAGAUUGAUCCAGUGCUUGGAGUAGAUUAACUUUUGCUUCCACGCACUAUAUAUCAAAAGCAUAAAGAUUGUCCUUCCAUGAACCGUAAAUAUCACCUUACCAUUCGGGUAUUUCCAUAAAGACACCUUAGAAGUCAAAAUUAACAUCAUACUACUUAAAAGGAUGUUAUGUCGUAAAGCAGAGAACGAUUUUAGGUGGAUACCCAUGUCAGAAAAUUCUUUCAGUAUUCUGUUUCUAAGUGAAGGCGCCCACAAUAAUAGAAACAGCAACACUUUUAAAAGACAAAAUUAGUUUAGACAGCAAUGGCCAGCUAUGGAAGUUUAAGACGUAGGUAUUAAGGCAUUAUAUUUGAUGAUAAAUGACACAGCAAAAUUGGUGAUUUUUUAUUUUCUCUCUUAUAUACACAUUAUGUUCAUGCUUUGGAUACACCAUCUUUUGAAAAUCGUUAACCUAGUUGAUAUAGUUUAAUGAUAUCCUCUCCUUCUCUUGAAAAAACUAAUCCAGGAUCAGAUUUGAACCAACCUUUGGCAAAAUUGACUAGCAAAACUGAUUCUCGUCAAUGUAGUAGUAGACUAGCAACUUGAUCGGGGGACCAUGCUAAGGACAUAUUUAAACAUGUGGAUGAUUUUUAGUGUGAAAGAGUCAUCAACAUGGAUGAAUCGGAUCAAGACAGCUAAGAUUGGAAGCACCAGGAUGGACAAUCCAUAGAGAUGAUGAGAAGAUACUAACAAUCUUUAAUAUUGAAAAAUUCACCCUAGCAUGCCAACAUUAAAUUAGGGAUUAGAGUAUUUAAAAUAUGACCAUUUAAGAUCCAAUGAGGAUCAACAGUGGAAGCCACAACCUUUGAAAUUCUGUGAAAAGAGCUUCAGAAAAUCAUUCAUUUCGAGUUUAUGAUCAUUUGGACCAAGUUGGAGAUUUACAGGCUGUUGAACUGACAACGGAAUCAGAAGAACUUGCAAAAAAGAUGAUCUUAGUUGGUUUGUGGUGCAUACAGACGAUGCAGGGGAAUCGGCCUUCAAUGAGCUGGGCAGUUAAUAUGUUGGAAGGAAGCAUCAAUGACUUGCAAAUGCCUCCAAAGCCGUAGCUAUGUGUCACGCCCCGAACCCGGGGCCCGGGGCGCGAGCAGACGCCGCGUACCUGCAGGGCGGGCCCCGCAGGCACGCAAGGCAGAUAAAUUAGAUCCAACAUCAAUAACUAAAUAAAAAUAAAUUCCAGAUUUCAUAUCAAAUGUCCACAUAUACAUAUGUCAAAAGAAAGUCAAUAUCUACUAGCUAAAUACAUCAUGAUCACUCCAUCCCGUAAUCCCUAUAAUCAUAUGUCAUCACCUGCAAAAAUGUAAAUAAUAAGAGUGAGCUAACAGCUCAGUAGGCAACAUCAUGCAAUAAAGUCAUCAUAUAACAUGUCAUGAUGCAUAUAAAAAGCAGCUAAAACUCAUGAAUCCAAAAAUCCACACGAUAAUCCGUAAACCCGAUCCAAGACUCAAAAUAACUCAACCGCAUGACUACGGCCACAUCACCCAGUGGCAUGGUUACACCGAAGUGCCAAUACAACUCUCCGAAGAGCCACUUCACUGAGCUAACGCACCACUGUGCCGCACCCUUUGGUGCCAAUCUUACGCUCCACCGUGCCGCUCCGAAGAGCAAAACGCACCCCUGUGCCGCCACUAUUCUAUCACCGGUGGUCGCGGUGUCGGAACUAGUUCCUCAGUACAAGUCGACAGGGCCAACGUACCAUCCCAUUGGCGGGGCCUAGACUAUAGUCACGCGGAUUUUAAAAAUCAAUAAAUCAACUUUCCACAUGGUAAAUUUUCAAAUCAAAGUCAUGAUCAUACUCCCAAUAGUAAAGCACAUAACAGUUUAUGAAAUUAAAUAUUUAAUUCUAAUUUUAACACAUAUUGCCAAUAAUAACACAUAACAUCAACAUAUGCAAGAUACAUAUUAAAAUUCUACUUUAAAGCAAUAAGUCACCUACCUGGGCUAGCUUAAGAAUCUCUGCCACGGAUAUCACGAACCUCUGAUUAAAACAUAAACAUUAAUUAUUUAAUUAACUACGAAACAUAAUUUAAACUAAUUUUCAAUCCCUUAGACUCCAAAGUUCAUAGAUCCAAGAAUGGGCCCCCAAGAUCAAACCCAAUUCACGGAAUAGGUGGAACCGGUUCAUAGCCUCAAUCGGUUCAGGUUCUGAUCCCCAAAUGAGGCACGGAAAUCAAAGCAAGAAAAAAACCCAAGGAAGAAUAAAGAAGAAGAAGAAGAAGAAGAAGAAGAAGAAGAAGGAANNNNNNNNNNNNNNNNNNNNCGGAAAUACAAAGACAAGAAAAAAAACCCAAGAAGAAUAAAGAAGAAGAAGAAGAAGAAGAAGAAGAAGAAGAAGGAAGAGAAGAAGAAGAAGAAGAAAAAGAAGAAGAAGGGGAAGAAAGGAAGAUAGGGUGGCUGGUGGUUCCGGUCGGCCUUCGGCGGCCGACCAUGGCCCUCGGCGGCGGCGCUCGGCCAUCAGCCGUCGGCCACAAUACUGUCACGAGCGGCGCGGAAGAGAAGAAGAAGAGAAGGAGAGGAAGAAAGGGAGGAAAGAGAGAGACCGGGGCUGGGAAGCCCGGCCCCCAUUCGCGCACCUCCGGCCGAACUCGUUUCGGCCGGAUUGACCCCGGCCGGCCACCGUCGGCCGGCCGAAUCUCACAAAUUUUUCUCCGAAAUAGGGAAAAUGCAACCGGUUUACAUCCCUCAUUCCUCUCCCCUUAAAUCCAAAAAAAAUAAUAAAUAGAUAGCCUUUCUCACCUCCGGUCGUCGACGAGUGGAUUUCCGGCGGCGAUGGCGGCUCCGGCGGCGGCGGUGGCUCCGGCAAUCCUCUCAAGAAAGGGGAAAGAGGAGGGGAGGAAAGGUUAGAUUUUUAGAGGGAUGGGGAGGGGCUCCUCUGAGAGUUCACGAAGGGAGAGAGAGAGAGGGAAGGGAGUGCGGGGGUUUCGCUGGCCGUUCGGACGGCGUGGUUAUCGUGGGGAGACCACGAAGAGCAGGUUGAAGUCGGCAUCCAUUGCCGACUUCAGUUCAUUGGGCCCAAGAACGGGCCCAAAUUCAGAUCUUUACACUAUGUUCUCCUUUGCAUUCAUUUAGAACUUCAUCUAAUCCUACAAGUUAAGAUGAUUCAACAAAUGCUUUUAUCUGCUUGUGCAAUGCUGGGUACUAUAUCAUUAGACCUGGUGCUGUAUCUAAGACAGUCAAAGAAGUAUUGAGUCAUCUGGUGAUUAUGUUACUUCUAAGCUUUGAAAUGGAGAAUGUCAAGCUUAGUUCACAGCGGCCAGCAUGACUGAAGAAGAAUUAAUAAUAAUAAUUAAAAAAAACAAAGCUAUAUGCACAAACCUUGAUAGGAGCUACAUUUGCAAAGAUGAAUCUAAACCCCUAUGGCAUCUGCUUAUGAUCAUAAAAGCUAUAUGCAAGUUGUCUUCCAGCUUUUCAGAAAAUGUGAUGAGGCUGAAAUUAAGAAGCGGAGAUGGAAGAGACUCCACAGAGCCACCAUGUCAAAUGAAGGCUAGCUCACUGAUUAACCGAAGAUAAUUAAAGCAAUAGCUAAGAACGUUGAAAUUUUGUAGGAGCCACCAUGUACUACAAAAUCAUAAUAUUUUGUAAAUUUUGAAAUUUUUAAUCAUGAUUUUGUCAUGUGGAGUGUUUAUUUGCGGGAUGAAAUUCAAAAAGGUCUUAAAAUUAAAAAACUAAAAAUGUGCCGGUAUGUGCAUGCACAUGCACGCGCGCUCUCUCUAUUUUAGAGUAGUUGAUGAUAGAUCCUAGCUUGUAGCCAUAUGGAAACCCCUACAAAUAGGCUUGGAGGGAAGGGAUCAUCAAUGGUAGAUAUGGAUGCCCUCACUUGAAAGUUUUCUACAUGUGAAUGGCCAACUUUUCAGCUACUCAACAGAGAAACUGUUAUAAUUAUGAAAGGGUGGGAGAAAUGGAAAGAGUAAUAAAAUAUUAUGGUUCAACGACUUUGGUGUCAACUUAAUAUGCCACAUAACAUUUAAGAACGAAUAGAGUAAACAUUUUUUUUUAGGAUGAGUGCAUGUAGAUUGAUUAUGUUAUUAUGUGAUCAUUCUUUUUGUUUGUGCUAACUUUGGCAUUUAUUUGCCGUAGGUCUUGAAAGAUUCAGUAGAAGGAGAAAGAGCAUAAGGUAUUGUACUAUAUAUCUUUGUCUCGGACUACCACCUGAAUGGUUGAUAGAAUAUUUUUCUCAAGAAAGAAUUAAUUGAAUGCUUUUCUUUCAAAAUUGUACAGCAAGGCAUUUCAUGCGGUCUAUAAUGAUACAAUUAAAUUUUUCAAAGCAUGUAAUAAUACAAGCCAUUGUUGUGGAUGACUAAAUCUAUGAUAACAAGAAGUCCACAAAAAAAAAACUUUGAUAAGUAACCUAAUCUUCUCUCGUUUUAACAUCUUAUAUAUCAGAACUCCAAUUUUGUCAAGUAACAUAUUCUAACACUAGAUCAAGCACGAAUAUUGAUAGUGUUAAGAAAGCUUAAGUUCCUAUCUUCAGAUGGUCAUGCUAAUUUGCUCCUUCUGCCCUCAACAAUUAUGAAUACAUUUAGAUGAAACAAAUAGAAAAUACAACACCUUAAGAUGAGUUAAUCUCAGGCGUACUAUGCAUUUUAGCAAAGAACUAACAAUGCCAUGCCUUAAACCUAAUAUAAUAUUUGUGAGGCAAUACUUUGCCUCAUAUGGCUUUUCUUUUAAUAACAUAGUGCGUUUUUGGUAUCUUGUAAACCUCUCAGAAAUUCCUGGCUUGUAUAUUUGUCCUUCAAAAAGUUGGCAAUGCAUAUAUGCCUUUCAAAAAUACCAAAAUUUGCAUUUUCAUUUACGCUGCUUUCAAUUAUGUCUAUAUCUUGCUUUGACUUGGUUUCCAUCGACAAUUUAUCGUCUUGAAAUUUGAAGAGUAUGUAAUAACUUGUUCUCAUGUAAUUUUCAUUUUUUGACAUGUAAAUUAAGCUAUAAGCAUUUUUGAGAUGUGAAAUAUGAUAAUAUUACUUAAUUUCAAAAAUCUCAUUCAACUAAAGGGGAUGCAUAUAUGCAGAAAUAUUAACGAAUAUGGGACUAAAAAUAUAAUCACAAAGAGAACAUAACCAAUAUGGGAGUAAAAUCAUGCCUGUAGAGGUCCUCAUGAUAACUCUUUCCUUGGACCAUUCUUUCCGUUUCUUUCUUAUCCUAUGGCAUCACCGAAGACUUCCUGAUCCCUCGGAGGUUCAAUGAAUAGGAACCUUUUUAAUUCUUAUGGUGUUAUUUUUUUUUUACUCACGUCGAGUUGGAAGAUAGAGACUUCGAUUUUAAGGACACAUUGGUCCAGGCGCAAACUUUUCUGUCAGAGUAAAUGGGAUUUUUCCUUUCUGGAAAAUGAUGUCGGAGGCUUGGAGCUUAUAAACAGCUACGAAGACUUUGACUCAAGACUUGACGUACGCACUGAUCCCUCAUGGUGCUGCUCUGGAUUGGCUUUAUGUUGGUUUAGUUCUACGGAUAAUAAACUGUUUUUCGAUUGUAUCCAUACGUUCCUUGUAUUGUUAUGUACAGUUCUUCUCACUUGACGUGAAAGAUUUUGUUAUUUUCCAAGUCUUCGGUUGACCAGAAACCUGCAGCGUUUCGUUCAUCUUCCGCGAGAAAGAAGGGUUCACCUUCCUUCGGGCAAAUCCGCCGAUCGAUUUGAAAGGUGUGCAGACUGAUGGGUUCAAGAGUUUGGAUGCUUUGAUUCUGUGCGGUGGGGGAUCCAACGGUGGAAUCGCGCGAAAGAAGGUGAAUCCUCAGUUGGCGCGAAAGAUGCGACCCCGUCCCCUCCUAAAUCCUAAUAUAUUUUCACGUGGCCGUGGGGCCCAACCUCCACGCGUCUUAGUCAGUCCAAGUCGACAAUCGGUCUUGCGAGGAGAAUAUUGGAAUAUAAACUGGUUUUGCUUCUAGUCUUUGUGGGUAAAUAUAGAGCUUAAACUGGGGUGGGGGUUGCUGGUGCGGUGCGGUGCAAGGCUCGUAGCGUUAAUUUCUUAUGGCUCUUUCCUUUUCCUGCCUUAUCGUCCCCUUCUUCAUCUUCUUCGUUUUCCCCAAUCUUUCUUGCCCAUGCCCAUGGAAUCCACCAUGCUGGAGUUCUCCUAUUGAAGUAAGACCUCCUUUCUACAGAGACCCCGCUCCUCCUGAAUUCUGUGGGCUUCAUAGGAUCUCCUGCAAGAACUCCACAACGUUCGUCCAAUUUUAUGGGCUUGGGCCCUCGUAUAACGUGGAGCAUAUCAACUACACUGAUAACUCAAUCAUAAUUGCAGACGAAGAGUUCACCACUUACUUGCCGAUACCAGAUUGCAUUUUCCUUUAUAAAUUUGAUCCUCCUAUUCCCUUAGUCCAGACUCCAGAGUCUCCACUCCUUCCCCAGUAUGUAAGACAGAACCAGACCCUCUUCAACUGCAAGCCGAAUGGUUAUGAUAUUUGUACCGACAUCUUCCACGACCUCUAUAAUCGCAGUCUUUGCAAAGGAUGCCAGCUCUAUUUUUCUAACAGAUACAGAUUAAAGGAUGGAGGAAUGGGUCCGGAUGAGUGUUGGGGCGACGGUCCAAGCCCAUCGUUUGGAUGGAAGUUAUCAUUCGAUGACCAUGGUAACCUUUCUCUACAGUCUGCCACUUCCACCUCGAAUCUAUUGCUGCACAUGGAUUGGGGGUGCUUCAAGCAUAAUUACAUAGGAAAUUCCACAUGUCCUGGCGACGACGAAUGCCAAGGUAGAUUUCUAGAACCUUCUAUUUGCCAAAUUUCUUGAUAUUUUUAUGCAUCUACAGCAUCGUGCCCCGUGUGAUGGUUGGUAGCAACUUGCUUCAACCAAUAAAAUUAGUUUACAAAGUUUCAGCUAGAAGUUCAAGGUUGAUAUUGGUGGCAAUUGUGUAGAAACAUGUAGGUUUUGAUAAUCCAAAGCGGGCAAGUCUAAAAGAAAACAGAUAUUUCUGUUUCGGUGAAACUUGUUAAAUUAUUUUAGUUCUAUGCUGACCUCUGGCUGUGGUGCUUUAUUUAAUGCUGCAGGAAAAAGCCAUACCAAGUGGAAGAUUUUAGCAGGUAAUGAACAUGUUACUCCAACGCAGCUAAUCCCUUCAAAUGAUUUCAGUUUUCCACACAUCACGGGAUACCAUGUGUUUGAUAAAACGAUAUUUGAAAUGUCUAAAGUUAAAAGUUUCGGUAGCCGUAUCCUGUGAUUGUACAAAACUUUACUCUGCCAUCAGUUCUUCUAAAACAUAAUAUAAGAUUGAUGGACAGUGUAUCAAAGCCUCCAAAUUAAUUAUAUUUUUUAAUAAAAAAUGUCUAUAAAUUGUUUAUAACGAUCGUAACGCAAUAAAAAUCCCCCAGUGUUCAACACGGCGUAGUUCGACUUAGUGAAGUAGGUGUUCAACAAUUUAGAAGUAGCUUCAGGCGAUCUUCCACUAGACAAAAUUUCAUAAACUCUAGGUGACAAUAAUGAUUACUGAAAGCUUCCAUGGGUGGUGAGCUUUUCAGAUUUGCAACCAUUAUUACCUUGUAUGUGUGCUGCACAAAAUGUGAUCUGGCUUUGAUUUUGUAAAUUCAGAAAUUAGAGGAAACUUAAUCAGAAGAGAAUAUAUUGCAAAUUUGUUAAUCUUCGAAUGAUUAUCUCCAUAGGUGGUAGGUUUAGUUUUUGUAAUUCUAUUUUCAAGGAAAUCUUGACUGAGAAAGCAUACGUAAUGACAAAAUUGAAACUUCGAAAUGAUUUAAAUUGUAUAUAAUUUUUUUCCUAUCCUUUUUUUUCUUUAACUGAUUAACAGACACUACUUUUUUUCUUGAUAUGGUCUGCUUGGUCACUUUGAUUAUUAUAUAAGAGUGUUGAAGGGGGACUUUAACAAAGAGGAACACACUGAUGUUGGAAUAUAUAUGCCGUGUCAUGGUGGCAAUUUGUCUUGACCUCAUUGGAAUUCUUGAAAAAUUUAAAAGCAAACUAGUACUGAGGGGUUUUAUUCACUUCGUAGAUUCAUAAGCCAUAAACACAAGGUUGAGUAUAGAAUGGUGAUCUGCAGUUAUGAUGGCUUAGUUAGCUAAUUAAAAAGAAGUGGGUCCCUCUUCACUCGGCUUCUUUUAAUAAGAGCGAUUUUUGAACUACUUGAGUUUUGUGAGAAGUGGGUAGGUUUGAGUACCUUUGCUUAUGAUAUUCAGAUUGGAGGAACGAGAGGAAAGUUGGUGCACUGAAGUAUUCAUCCUUUUUUUCUGAAGAAAAAAUAAGUAUUAUUUAGUUGCAUCUUUUUUCACACAUAAAAAAAUAAUUGCCUCAAUCUUUUUGUUAUUUUUUGUAGUUCAGAAGGCAAAUAUGACUGCUGCGACUUUGUUAUGGUAGAAAACUAACUUGUGAGAUGACAACAAAAAGCAGUGGAAAACUUUCUUUAGGAGUUCGAAUAUUAGUUAUUAAGGGCCUCAAAAACUUCUAUUCAAUUAUCUCUCACUUCUCUAUCUAGCUGAAAAUAAAGUUUAAAGACCUACCAAAUUUAUGGCUUUUAAGCCCUCAAUUGUUUAUUAUUAGGAACAUAGAAGUUUGAGAGUUUAAAAAGCUCUUUAUUCCUUGCCUCAAUUGUCCGACUUUGUUCAUAACAACCUUUGACGUUCCAAGCAUUGGCGUUUUUCAAGCUGUAUUUACAUUUUUCGCCUUUAAUUAAUUUCAGGUUCGAUAUUGGCAAUGAUCACAGCAGGUCUCCUUUUCUCUUGCUGUUUUUUCCUUUUCUCCCAACACCGACACAGAAAUCUUCUCAAGUCGAUCAUCUUUUGGAGGAGUAAAUCAAACAACUGUUGGAAUCAAACAAAUUUUGUGGGAAGAAAACAAGAGAAGAAAGUUAUUCUCUUGAUGAAUAGUGAAAAUAGCAAGCCAAUGGGUUGUACUACAAAUGAACUUUUCUUCUCAGGUUCUCAUAUGUUUAAAACAACAAGUUACAUGACCUUUAUAUAGGCCCUCCAAAGCUAAUCCGAAAUUAAGAGUAUUAAUUUCGUUAGCAUUCCCUAAGCAUCAAAUAACCACCUAAUAAAGAGAAAAACCAUCUCCCCAUGCCACUCGGGAAACCAAAAGACAUUUGACGCUUAGGAAUUACAAACAUAGGGAAACAACACAUCAUAAAUGACUUGGGAAAAUAAAAGGUCUAGCUUAAUUUCUAACACAACGCACAUAAUAUUGAAGCAGUUUUAGAAAAUUUCGGUUCCCUCGCCCCGAAAAGAUACAAGUAUGCAGAUCUGAAGAAGAUAACGAACUCUUUCUGUGACAAACUGGGCGAAGGAGGCUAUGGCAUUGUGUACAAAGGUAGCCUGCAAGAUGGUCGUUUGGUGGCUGUGAAGUUCUUAAGAAACUGCAGGGGCGAUGGGGAGGAAUUUUUGAAUGAAGUUGCCAGCAUUGGUAGGACCUCCCAUGUUAACGUUGUUAGUCUAAUUGGCUUUUGCUUCGAGGGGUCUAAAAGGGCUCUCGUUUAUGACUAUAUGCCCAAUGGAUCACUGGAGAAGUACAUCUAUUCGGAGAACCCGAAAACUACUCUUGGCUGGGAAAAGUUGUACGAAAUAGCAAUUGGCAUUGCCCGAGGGCUAGAAUAUUUACAUCGCGGGUGCAACACACGCAUAGUACACUUCGACAUCAAACCCCACAAUAUCCUUCUAGAUCAAGAAUUUUGUCCUAAAAUUGCAGAUUUUGGGUUAGCUAAAUUAUGCCCUCCGAAGGACAGUAUCCUUUCACUGACAGGUGCUAGAGGAACCAUAGGGUUUAUCGCACCAGAAGUCUUCUCUAGGAACUUUGGAGUUGUUUCUACUAAGUCAGAUGUCUAUAGCUAUGGAAUGAUGGUUUUAGAAAUGGUUGGAGGAAGAAAGAAUGUAAAAGCAAGUGUAGAGAAUGCUAGUGAAAUUUAUUUUCCACAUUGGAUUUAUGAUCAUUUGGACCAAGUUGGAGAUUUACAGGCUCUUGAAGUGACAACAGAAUCAGAAGAAUUGGCGAGAAAGAUAAUCUUAGUUGCUUUGUGGUGCACGCAGAUGAUGCCAGGGAAUCGACCUUCAAUGAGCAGGGUAGUUGAUAUGUUGGGAGGAAGCAUCAGUGACUUGCAAAUGCCUCCAAAGCCGUAUCUAUGUUCUCCUUUGCAUUCAUUCAGAACUUCAUCUAAUCCUAUGAGUUAAGAUGAUUUAACAAAUGCUAUUAUCUGCUUGUGCAAUGCUGGGGACUAUAUUAUUAGACCUGGUGCCGUAUCUAAGACAGUCAAAGAAGUAUUGAGUCAUCUGGUGAUUAUGUUACUUCAAAGCUCUGAAAUGGAGAGUGUCAAGCUUAGUUUGCAGUGCGAGCAUGUCCGAAGAAGAAUUCAAAAAGAGAAAAUCAAUUGUGUGCUUCAUUCAAGUAUAUGUGCAACCCUUGAUAGGAACAACAAUUGCAAAGAUGAAUCUAAACCUCUAUGGCAUAUGCUUAUGUUCAUAAAAGCUAUAUGCAGGUAGUCUUCCAGCUUUUCGAAAAAUGUGAUGAGGCUGAAAGAAGGGGAGAUGCAGGAGACUGCACAGAGCCACCAUGUCAAAUGAAGGCCAGCUCACUGAUUAACCGAAGAUAAUUAAAGCAACAGCUAAGAGCUUAUUUUCUAAAGUCACUUUAUGUUUACUUCUGAUAGUUCUUCAUAUGUACCUUUACACUGUUGAUAGCAAAUUUUUGGAGGAUCUGUAUCUUUUCUUUUCUUGAUGGUGUAAUUGGAUAUACUACAAAAUCAUAAAAUUUUGUAAAUUUUGAAAUUUUUAAUCAUGAUUUUGUCAUGUGGAGUGUUUAAUUGUGGGAUGGAAUUCAAAAAGGUCUUGAAAUCAGAACUGAAAAUGGCACAUAUGCGCUCUCUAUAUUUUAGAGUAGUUGAUGAUAGAUCCUUGUGGCCGCAUGGAAACCCCUACAAAUAGGCUUGGACGAAAGGGAUCAUCAAUGGUAAAUAACUAAAUAUGGAUGCUCUCACUUGGAAGUUUUCUACAUGCGAAUAGCCAAAACUUUUGAGCCACCAACAGAGAAACUCUUACCAUGGUCUAGGAUGACAGAAUUCCCACGUCACAAUCCCUAAUAUUGCAGAUCCUUGGACAAUAAAAUGACAGAUGAGACCAUUCGAUCACAAAGAAGUGUGAUCAUCAUGGAAUAAAUCCAACAACCUCUUAUCAAUUGCAUCAGUGCCUCAUGAUUUGUGUCGCCAUGUGUUGAAGUAACAUGGUUCGUAUAGGUUGUUGGAUGCAAUAUUGUGCCAUAUUUUUGUAAUUACUUAUCCCUGGAUUUGGUAAACAUUAUACCUUUUCUAACUAGAUUUAAGCGGUUGCAAUGCAUGUAAAAGAAUGGUAUGGAUGUGGUUACAUAUUAAUUUCUAGUCUUCUCUCCAUAGGAAAUGAUAUGCAGCCAACAUAUGGUUCCUUAGAUUUUUGUUAUUUCUAUUUUCAUAGGAUUUUUCUUUCUUAUAUGAUUGCAGAUGGACUACCAAAUGUUAUUGGCGAUGGUUAGAAUGGAGUUGAUCUUCUACUAUCUUGAAUGGAAACUCUCAAGCUUACACUGUUAGUACAACGACCUCAUGUGGUGGCAUGUGAGGAAAGAUAAGAAUUAAAUAAGAAUUUAAAUGUUUCAAAGGAAAAGCUAUUUAACCAUUAUAAUUAUAGAAGAAAUCCAUGAAAAGAAAAAUCUAAACUUAUUAGGGUUCCAAACAAAAAACUACUAACAAAUUUUAUCUUAAGCUUAUAUUGCAAGUUAAGUCUAUGUUAUUUUAAGAUUCCUCUAUUUUCUCCUAGCAGUUCGAAACUGAGUUUAUCAUUUGUCCUGCGGAGGUGAGGGAAGCCUGGGAAGGCAUUGUCUAUGUAGUGAUGAUCUUGAGAGCCGCCAACAUUAUCCUUGAGAGGGAUUUGAAGAUGGUUAUCAGUUAGUUAUCUAGAUUGUUGGCCUAUCAUUGUGGCUCCCAUCAUACUCUGGAGGACUUGAGAAGGAUGAUCUCCACUCCGCAGUCAUUCAGAGCUACUUAUAUUUUUAGGAAAGCUAACAUGAUUGUAGAUUUUUGGAUAGCUUUCUUUGUAGCUAAUCACUCAGUUUCUAUUAUUUAGGAUUCGACUUAAUGAGCUCCUUCUCAGCUGCACGAUGUGUUAUAUGCUCAUGCUAUUGAUUGUAUUUAUUCUAGCAUUAUAUAAUCAUACUAUCUAAACAGAAAAAAAAAUGAUGAAAGAAAUAUUUUCGUCAGCAUGAGUCUUGCAUCUAGAUUUCUCUUGCUAACAAGUCCAAGAUCUUUCUAGCCCCUUUGUCGGUCUUUCUAGUAGACCGUUAAUAUAGUUUCCUCAAAAGAGAAAACCGAUCCAUUUCCUCUUUUGCAGUAGUUAAGCCUGUAGCUCCUCAAAGAAAAAAUGGAAGUGUUUUAUUUGAGCAAAAUAAGAGUUUGUCCUUGAAGUCAUGCACCUAAAAUCCCUCCUUUCGCGCACGGAAGAAGGAAUGCAAAUCCACUGUUGGCUCAUUCGCUGGUGGCUUUCAAGAUCUAUGUAGAUGGAUAAAUGACAAAGUUCGGAUCACUUUGAUAUAUGUGCAGUGGGUGAUCAAAUAGUGGAUUCAUGUGAAAGGUAUGACCCAGACCGCUUGUCUUCUCCCAUUCAUCCUCAUCACCUUGCCAUUUCGGACGCCUUCUUUCUCCAAGACAAAUUGACAAUUCUAGAACUUCGUGCCGGUCCAAUUCAUGGGGAGGGUUUGUAUCUCUAGUGUGAAAGAAGGAUUCAUCUUUCUUUAUGCAAAUUGCCGUUGGAUUGUGCGAUGACCGCUUCGAGAUCCAUGCAAGCAGGUCAGUGGAGUUGGAGUGCUUUGAGAUUUGUGGGGGAUGCGAUGGAAUGGUUGAUGUUUUGUGCGAGAGAUACAACCCGAACUCCAAUUCAUUCGCGGAACAUCCCUUCAGAUUAGAUCUCCGUCCCAAAUUCUCUCAAGUUUCGAUCUCUGUCCCGACUAUCUCGCAUUAGCGACAACUCCACCAUGACGAUCCACCUGAACAUAUGAGAACGCAAUCUUGCAUCUCUCCGUUUCGAGCACACUAACGAGACGAGAAUAUCACCUUGUUCAUUAACUGCACCUCUUCCAUCUCAAUGCAUUUUUGUCACGCCCCGAACCCAUCNNNNNNNNNNNNNNNNNNNNNNNNNNNNNNNNNNNNNNNNNNNNNNNNNNNNNNNNNNNNNNNNNNNNNNNNNNNNNNNNNNNNNNNNNNNNNNNNNNNNNNNNNNNNNNNNNNNNNNNNNNNNNNNNNNNNNNNNNNNNNNNNNNNNNNNNNNNNNNNNNNNNNNNNNNNNNNNNNNNNNNNNNNNNNAAUCUAGCAGUCAGACUCCAUGCUGAUCUCAUUUCUCGUCCCACCCGAUGGACUCUACAAAUCCAGUGUCUCUGAAAAAGAAAGUAAGAGUAGUAUGAGCUUUUCUAGCCCAGUAAGAAUCCCAACAGCCACACACAGUAAUAAUAAUAAAAUGAUCAAAACAUCAAAAUAAUAUCAUUUCAUCAUUUCAAAGGCUCAACAAACAGCAAAUAUAUGUAACCAUUUCAAAGGCUCAACAAACAGCAAAUAAUAAUAAAAGUUGUGGCUCGCCUACACCGACGCUUUAAAGCGUCGGUAAACUGUACGCCUACGCCGACGCAAAAAAAAGCGUCGGGAAAGAUACAUUGCCGACGCUUUAAAGCGUCGGUGAAAACCCAGAACUGGGCAUGCUUUGGACUUUCCUGACGCUUUAAAGCGUCGGAGAAUGUUGUUUUUGCCGAUGCUUUUAGUAGCGUCAGGGAAGCCCUGUUUUUGCCGACGCUUUAUCUUAGCGUCGGCAAAAAUUUUUGCCACUCCGGUAUCGCUGACGCUUUUGCGACGCUUCUGUUUACGUCGCGGGAACUUUAGCCGACGCUUAUAAGCGUCGGCAAAGAUUAUAAAAAGCGUCGGAAAAGAUGAAUUUUCUUGUAGUGGUACCUAUGCUGUUUACUACAAUAGCAGUGAUACGCCAAUGUUCUUUCCAGCAAACCUAACUAUUUUAAAUCAUUUGCCUUUAAUGGACUUCUUAUUUUAUAGAUGGACUAGGAAAAGUGAGGAGAACACGAGGGCCCACUCGAGCACGAGACGUAUGGACCCUACCUGAGGAUGAGAAGAUUGUCGUCCAUUGCAACGAACUAGGGCAGCCCAUCAAGAAUGCAGCAAGCAUUUUAUCCACUUUUUUAGGAUCGGUUGCGCGGAAGGAACAAUUGUGUCCGCUCAACUAUACGAAAUGGAAUGAAAUGCUUCCUUCGUAUAAGAUUGAGCUUCUUAGAGUUGUUGAGGUAAAGAAUUGAAUUUGCUUACUAUCUUCAAUUAUUUUUUGAUUUAACAUUGAUAUAACAUUUUUGACUUUGAUGUAGACAAAGUUUGUCCUUCCUGCAAAUAGCCAUGAUUGGGUGCUGAAGUCCGUCAACCGCAAAUGGAAAGAAUAUAAGGCAAAACUAAAGGCGGAUUGGAAGCACGAGGGCAUGACUGAAGAGGAGGUGGCCCGUGUUUGUCCUCCAGAUGUAAUCUCUCAUCAGUGGAGGGAGCUUGUCCACUACUGGUUUUCCGAGAGAGCUCAGGUUGUGUAUAUUUUUUCAAUACCUUAGAUUAUAUUUACUAUUAUUAUAGAUUAGAAAUUUAUACAUUGUAUAAAUUACAUUGUUUAUUGUUUUGCGGGGAAGACAUAUUCCAAUAUUGGUANNNNNNNNNNNNNNNNNNNNNNNNNNNNNNNNNNNNNNNNNNNNNNNNNNNNNNNNNNNNNNNNNNNNNNNAGCAUGUAUACUCAAAAUAUACUUUUUGUUGUAGAUGGAUGAUAAUGGGAGGGAGCCUGGUAUGGUGGAGUUUUAUAAGAUGACUCACACCCACCGAGAUGGCAGCUUUGUCCGGGAGGAGUCAAGAGAUAUAGUUGUAUGUAUUCAUCUUUGGCUUGUGCUGUAUUUUUUUUGGUUCUAUUAUUGGCAUACAUUAAUUUGAAUUUUUUUUUGAAAGAUAUAGGAUAGGGCAACAAAUCUUAUUUCAGAGCGCGUCGGGGGGUCAUCAUUAUCCGACGCGACCCAUCAUAUUGAAGCUCAAGUGCUCGCUGAAUUGAUGGGCCCAGAGCGUUAUGGUCGAGUGAGAGGUUACGGCGUUGGAGUUACCCCCACUCAGUUGUCUUCAGUGGGCACAUAUACAAGAAAUGCCAGAGAAUCUAGUAACACUGCAGAAGUUCGUCAUCUUCAAGCAACUAUUGAAGAGCUGAAGCAAAAUCAAGCAAAUUUGCAGUCUCGGCUUACGAAUAUUUCAUCCAUGUUACAACGAUUUCUUCCUUCUCAGGUAAAUAACUAUAUAUAUUUAAAUAUUUUACAUAUUAUCAAUUAUGAUAUAUGAGUUAAUGUAUCACAUUAUUCCUAACUUCUAAGGUUUUUUUUUUUUGUAGAUUCCUGAUACUUCAAACGCUUGUAGAGAUGAUGAUGGAGCUGAAUCCCGUCCCUGAUGCAUUCUAGAUUAUCUUUUAUGAGUUUGAUAUGUAUAUGUUUCUUAUUUUUCAGAGUACAUUGUAAUUGGAAACUUAUUAAGCAAAUUUUUAAUCAGAUAUGACAAUAUUCAUAUUUUGAAUGAUCUGAGUGUUUGUGUCAAUGUAUCAAUGUAAUACAGGUUCAUAUUGUUAUAAUGUAUGUUUUGUAAUUUGUAUUUUAUAAUGUGGAUUGGUGUUUUAUUUUAUUUUAAAAAAAAAUAAUUUUCGACGCUUUUAAGCGUCGGUAAAAAAUGUCAUGGCACCACCGGCACGCUUAUGCCGACGCUUCAAACGCUUAUGUUAGCGUCGGCAAAUGAGGAAUUUCCGACGCUUUAAAGCAUCGGCAAUUUACGACGCUACAAAGCAUCGGGGAAAACCAUCAGGAAACCCGUGACGAAAUUGUUCGUCGGGUUAUCGCCGAUGCUAUAUAAGCGUCGGUAAAGCCAGGUUUUUGCCGACGCUUUCCUCCAGCGUCGGCAAAAACUUUUGCCACUCUGGUAUGUCCGACGCUUUGCCGACGCUUGGCAUUGCAUCGCAGGUAGUUUAGCCGACGCUAAAUAGCAUCGCCAAAGGUCCAAAAAAGCGUCGGGAUAGGUCAUUUUUCCUGUAGUGUACCCUCAACAAUUUAUAAAUAUAUUUAGAUGAGACAAACAAAAAAUAAGACACCUUAAUAUGAGUUAAUUUCUGAGGCAUACUAUGCAUUUACCCAAGAACUAACAAUGCCAUGCCUUAAACCUAAGAUAAUACUCGUGAGGGACUAAUUUGCCUAAUAUUGCUUGUCUUUUAAUGUUUUUGGUAUUUUUUAAAGCUCUCGGGAAUUCCUUGUAGUUGUAUAUUUAUCCUUCAAAAAGUUGGCAGUGCAUAUAUGCCCUUUCAAAAUACCAAAGUUUACAUAUAUGCCCUUCAUUUGCGCUGCUUUCAAUUUUGUCUAUAACUUGGUUUCACUAAGUUACGAUUGACUGUUUAUCCUCUUGAAAUUUGAAGAGUGUCUAAUAAUUUGUUUGCAUGUAAUUUUCCUUUUCUGACAUGUAAAUUAGGCUAUAAGUAUUUUUGAGAUGUGUAUUUGACAAAAUCCUCGAAGAGGGGAUUAACUAGUAAGAUAAUAUGGCAAUAUUAACUAAAGGAGAUGCAUGCAGAAAUAUUAAUGAAUAUGGGACUAAAGACAUAACCACAAAGAGCACAUAAUCAAUGUGAGAGUAAAAUCAUAUCUGUAGGGGUCCUCAUAACUCUUCUCUCGGAUCAUUCUUUCCAUUUCUUUCUUAUCUUACAGCUUCACCGAAGACUUCGAUAUCCCUUGAAGGUUCAAUGAACAGAAACCUUCUUAUGGGAUUAAAUUUUCUUUUUUUCUCCUCACUUCAAGUGGGAAGACGAAGACUUGGAUUUUAAGGUGACAUUAGUCUAGGCAAACUUUUCUGUCAGAGAAAAUGGGGUUUUUCCUUUCUGGAAAAUGAUGUGAGGAGGCUUGGAGCUUAUGGACAACCAGGAAGACUUUGACUCAAGACUUGAUGCACGCACGGAUCAUCUCUCAUGGUGCUGUUCUGAUUUGUUUUUAUGUUUGGUAGUUCUAUGGAUAGCAAAGUGUUCCUCCAUAAUAUCCAUGCGUUCCUUGUAUUGUUGUGUACUGCUGUCCUUCUCUAUUGACGCGAAGGAUUUUGUUAUUUUCCAAAGUCUUCAGUUGACUAGAAACCUGCAGCGUUUCCGUUUAUCUUUCCUUAUCAAACUUGAAGAAUAUUCUUUAAAAGCAGAGCCGAAAUUUCCAGGAAGCUCCGAAGCUCGCCUUUUCGUUUUAAACCCGACUCCCCAAGCAAGAAAAAAUGUUCACGGUUUACAUCAGCCUUCCAUGCCGCUUUUCUCCGACUACAUGGAAGUCUCUUGCCCUCCCAACGGGGUCGGGUUGUAUCUUUCGCGAGAAAGAUGGAUUCACCUUCUUUCUUGCGAUUUCACCGUUGGAUCGCCCAACGCACAGCUAUCAAAGCACCAAAACUCUGCAAUGCAUCCGCCUGCACACAUUGGAACGCGACUUCUUUGGCGCGAAAGAUGCGACCCCGUCAACCUCCCAAUAUGUUUCCACAUGGCCCUGGGGCCCGACCACUUGGUUUUCCACGCGUCUUAGUCAGUCCAAGUCGACAAUUGGUCUUGCGAGGAGAAUAUAAACUGGUUAGACUUCUAGUCUUUGUUGGGUAGGGGUGCAAAUGGAUCGGAUCGGGUCGAGUUCUAGGUGAUCUCGAUCCAACCUGAUUUUUUGUUCGGGUUCCAAUUUUGGACCCGGACCCGUCCUGGUUGAAGAUCGGGUCGGGUCGGGUCCGGGUCUGAGUCGGGUCGGGGCCGGAUCCGAUCGGAUCCAAUUGUGCUUUUGAGAAAAAAAUUUGGGCAAAUCUAAUUUGGUCAUAUCAUAAUUAUGAGGUGCUGGGUGGCCGAUGACCUGAAAGACUUGCAAUUGAGCUCCGGUCUGAACAGAUGACCCAUGACUUACUAACUAAGUCGGUCUACAAGCCAAAUUUCAUAUCACACUAUUUUUUAUCUAUAUGACUGAUUGGACGGAACUCGGUGUCUCCCNNNNNNNNNNNNNNNNNNNNNNNNNNNNNNNNNNNNNNNNNNNNNNNNNNNNNNNNNNNNNNNNNNNNNNNNNNNNNNAACUGGCUCAUGACCCAUAUUCAGCUGCAGUGUUCCCACACUUUCUCCCUUCAAAAGUUAAAAGAAACAAAAACCAAAAAACAGAAGGAAAAAAAAAAAAGGACAGCUACCGAGACACCAGAGGUAUCAACAGUGUAAUAGAUCGAUAGAGAAUCCUGACGGGCCGACGUUCCUUUGGAUUCUGUGAACUUAUGCUUGCUGCUAACUUGCUAUCCUCCCACGCUGACCAACAGUACCACAACCCACGCAAAAAAAAAAAACAAAAAAAAAGAAAAGACACUCUUUUGCUUUCCUCUCUCUCUUUGGAUCCAUUCGGGUCGGAUCGGGUCCGUUUGGUAAACCCAGAUCCGACCCAAAAAAUGAUUUGGAUUCAAUUUUAGGACCCGAUCCGGAUCCGGGUCCUAAAAUUCGGAUCGGAUCGGAUCUAUACGGGUCGGAUCGGGUUGGAUCGGGUCAUGGGUCGACCCGACCCAUUUGCAGCCUUAUUGUUGGGUAAAUAUAGAGCUUAAACUGGGGUGGGGGUUGCUGGUGCGGUGUGGUGCAAGGCUCGUAGCGUUAAUUUCUUAUGGCUCUUUCCUUUUCCUGCCUUAUCGUCCCCUUCUUCAUCUUCUUCGUUUUCCCCAAUCUUUCUUGCCCAUGCCCAUGGAGUCCACCAUGCGGUAGUUCUCCUCCUAUUGAAGUAAGACCUCCUUUCUACACAAACAGCUCUCCUCCUGAAUGCAGUGGGCUUCAUAGGAGUUCUCCUCCUAUUGAAGUAAGACCUCCUUUCUACACAAACAGCUCUCCUCCUGAAUGCAGUGGGCUUCAUAGGAUCUCCUGCGAGGACUCCAGAACAUUAAUCGUCCAAUUUUAUGGGCAAGAGCUCUCGUAUAUCGUGAAGGACAUCGACUACUUCCAUCACUCAAUCAUAAUUGAAGUCCCAGGGUUCGGCAACCACUUGCAGAUACCAGAUUGCAUUUUCCUUUAUAAAUUUGAUCCUCCUAUUGCCCUAUCCCAGACUCCAUUCCUUCCCCAGUCUGUAAGCCAGAACCAGUCCCUCUUCGACUGCAAUCCGAAUGGUUAUGAUAUUAGUACCGACAUCUUCCUCGAACUCUACAAUCUUAGUCUUUGCAAAGGAUGCCAGCUCUAUUUUUCCAACAAAUUAAAGGAUAAAGGAUUGGGUCCGGAUGAGUGUUGGGCCGUUCCAAGCCCAUCGUUUGGAUGGAAGUUAUUAUUCAAUUACAAAGGCGACCUUUCUCUACAGUCUGCCAGUUCCAACUGGAAUCUAUUGCUGCACAUUGACUUGGAUUCGGGUUGCUUCAAGCAUAAUUGCACAGGAAAUUCCAUGUGUCCUGGCGACGACGAAUGCCAAGGUAGAUUUCUGGAGCCUUCUAUUUGCCAAAUUUCAUGAUAUCUUUAAGCAUCUACAGGAUCGUGCCUCAUAUGAUGGUUGGUAGCAACUUGCUUCAACCAAUAAAAUUAGUUUACGAAGUUUCAGCUAGAAGUUCAAGGUUAUAAAUCAGUGGCAAUUAUGUAGGAAUCUGUAGGUUUUGCUAAUCUGUUUCGGUGAAACUUGUUAAAUUAUUUUAGUUCUGUACUGACCUCUGGCUGGGGUGCUUUAUUUGAUGCUGCAGAAAAAAGCCAUACGAAGUGGAAGAUUUUAGCAGGUAAUGAACAUGUUACUCCAACGCAGCUAAUCCCCUCAAAUGAUUUCAGUUUUCCACACAUUACGGGAUAUCAUGUGUUUGGUAAAACGAUAUUUGAAAUGUCUAAAGUUAAAGUUUCGGCAGCCGUAUCUUGGGAUUUUACAAAACUUUACUCUACCGUCAGUUCUUCUGAAACAUAAGCCAAUGUACCAAAGCCUCCAAAUUUAUUAUAUUUUUUCUAAAAAAUGUCUAUAAAUUGUUUAUAACGAUCGUAAUGCCAUAAAAAUCCUCCUGUGUUCAACUCGGUGUAAACAAUUUAUUCUAAAUGUUUAAACUACAAUUUUUUUCUCAUAGUCAAAAAUUUGUGAAGCAAAGGAGAUACCAUCAUACCAAUCUGCUUAACUGCGUUGCAUCAUCCUACUUAUGGAAGACAGGAAAUAUAAACUUAAGUGAUUUUUCUUUGAGCAAAAAUUUUCUUCUAAUCAACGUUUCUCCUUUUAUUUUCAUUUACUGAUCAUGUAGAUAUUAUUAUUAUCAUGAGCAGGAGGUGGUGCAGGCGUGGGUGGCUUCGUUGCUGUAGGCUUGCUCUGCCUUUUAAUAUUGUACGAGCACAGGAAGAGGAAGCAGCAUUCGACCUCUUCAAUCCUGCUCGGCCCAACUCCCUCUUCGGAGCCAUCCUCCUACAGAGACCCUGAAUUGGGCAGCUUACAAUACCAGACCCCCAUCUUCUCGUACGAGGAGCUUGAGGAGGCCACUAAUGGCUUCAGUGCCUCCAGAGAACUUGGUGCUGGUGGCUUCGGUACUGUUUACCAAGGUACAUAUUACAUUGUUCUCAAUAAAAUCUGAGCGGCAAUUUCCUGUUUCCGCAUGCUUUCUGGCGUUGCUAACUAAGACUAAUAUGGCUGGCCUUGUUUGCUAUUCGAACUAAUGGAUUUCCCCCCUGCCUCCUACCUUCGGUCCAUAUAUUGCAUAAAAUGUAUCCAUUAAUUAGCUCUAUCAGCACAAACUGAUGCUUUGCCUUUCUACAGGAAAGCUCCGAGAUGGGCGUGUAGUCGCAGUCAAGCGACUGUAUAAGCACAACUGGAAUCGUGUCGAGCAGUUCAUGAAUGAGGUUGAAAUCCUCUCACACCUUCGCCACCAGAACCUUGUCUCCCUCUACGGCUGCACCUCGCGCCACAGCCGUGAACUCCUACUUGUGUAUGAGUACGUGCCCAACGGCACUGUCGCGGAUCACCUCCAUGGCCCCCGUGCGCACAACCGAGCCCUUACAUGGCCCGUCCGGAUGAGCAUUGCCAUUGAAACAGCUGAUGCACUCGCCUACCUCCAUGCUGUCGAACCACAAAUCAUACACCGGGAUGUGAAGACCAGCAACAUCUUGCUUGACCGCGGCUUCCAUGUGAAAGUUGCUGAUUUUGGGUUGUCACGACUCUUCCCACUCGACGCCACCCAUGUGUCCACCGCUCCUCAGGGCAGCCCUGGUUAUGUCGAUCCUUUCUACUACGAGUGCUACCAGCUCACCGACAGGAGUGAUGUGUAUAGCUUCGGGGUGGUACUAGCAGAGCUUAUUUCAUCUAAACCGGCUGUCGACACCAAUAGGACCCCUGGUGAGAUCAAUUUGGCCAACAUGGCAAUUAGUAUGAUCCAGAAUUGCCACCUGGAGCAGCUGGUGGAUCCAAGUCUCGGAUAUCAGUCGGAUUGGGAGAUGAAGACUAUGAUCACCCUGGUGGCUGAGCUAGCAUUCAGGUGCUUGCAAUUAGACACGGAGAUGAGACCAUCCAUUAAGGAGGUUCUGGAUGUGUUGAGAGACAUAGAGAGUGGAGAGUACAAGACCAAGAAAGUGGUGGAGGCUGAUGUUCCAGUCAGGGAAGAAGCCAUCUCACUGAGAAAUAUUCUACCUUUUUCACCGGAUUCUGUUACAGGGAGAUGGGAAAGCAGUUCGACGACACCUCACACUAGUGAGUGAGGUACCAUCCUUCUCCCCGGAUACUUGGAUUCGCUUCAUAUUGUACCACUGUAUUGAUUACUAUAGAGAGAACUGGAGAGGCUCUAUCCAAACGUUUAAUAAUCGACGAGAUUGUACAUAGGAUAUACAGUUUCUUACGCACAUUUCUAAGGGAUAGGAUGUCAUGGAUUAGGUAGUUGCUUUCUUUGCCCUUUAUAUUCUGAUACAUGUGAUUUCUUAUAUAUGCUAUGGAUCAAUUAAUUGUUGCUAUCUGUGUGAAAAUAUGCAAGGAGCAAAAUACUCAAAUUUUCUUAAAGAAAUCAAGCCCUAUUGUAUUUUGUAGAAAAUUUUAUCAACCUUCUUUCUUAUCUCAAACUUUGAAAUAAUCUUGCAAUAUUGAUGCCACAUAUUGAGAGAUAUUGAUUUAUCUUAUUUAGAAAAAGGCUAACUUACAUCAAAAUACAGAGCUUAUAUGGUUACACAUUGAAGAUACAGAGAUUCGUCAAAUCAUUUAUGAGAUUAUUAAGUUUGUUGAUUUUUGUACUUUGUUUUACAAAUAUUUUGUAAAUAGUUUCUAUAAAUUUUUAUUGCUCUUUUAUAUAUUUUUUUAUAGAAAAAAAACUUUACCUCUCUCUCUCUCUCUGUGUGUGUGUGUGUGUGUGUGUGUGUGUGUGUGUGUGUGUGUAGAAGNNNNNNNNNNNNNNNNNNNNNNNNNNNNNNNNNNNNNNNNNNNNNNNNNNNNNNNNNNNNNNNNNCAGAUAUAUAGAUAAGCCUGUUUGGCUAGGAUUGAAGCGCCAUGUGAAGGGAGAGAGAACAUAGAGGUCAGUUCCCUGCUCCCAACAACUGAACUAUCCCACUGGAUUAUGCGAGAAGCUCCCAAACAGGCCCUGAAUAAGCAAUAACAUCACUAUUGGGAAGAAUUACAUGAAGAAUUUUCAUCCUGUGGAAUAUGCAGUUGCCUUCGGCUUCAAUCCCACUAGAAAUUAACAGAAAAAACAAAGGAUUUGUCUCGUUACAGUCUUGGGAUCAUCAGUUCAUCACACCACAAACUCCAGAGCACAACCACAUCGUUUAUUAGGUUUGAUUAUAUUCUUCCCUCGAAAAAUAAGGUUUAUUUAUUGACAGUUGGCUGUCACCUCACACAGCAAUAGUUUUUUUGGUGCAUCAGAAAAGUAAGCUUUUGGGAACAAAUAAAUCUCUUGCUUAUUUUGAUCUCCUCCACAAUAUAAACCCAAUAUGCUUUCCAAUAUUUAUUUUUUUUCGGUCAGCAUCGUCCAUAAUCAUCCGCAUUUUGACGGAGAGAUCUCCUUGUUCUU
rnacentral:lncRNA from 1 species